rnacentral:rRNA from 1 species
UACGAAGGGGGCUAGCGUUGUUCGGAAUUACUGGGCGUAAAGCGCACGCAGGCGGAUUGGUCAGUUAGGGGUGAAAUCCCAGGGCUCAACCCUGGAACUGCCUUUAAUACUGCCGGUCUAGAGUCCGAGAGAGGUGAGUGGAAUUCCGAGUGUAGAGGUGAAAUUCGUAGAUAUUCGGAGGAACACCAGUGGCGAAGGCGGCUCACUGGCUCGGUACUGACGCUGAGGUGCGAAAGCGUGGGGAGCAAACAGGG